rnacentral:rRNA from 1 species
GAUGAACGCUGGCGGCGUGCCUAAUACAUGCAAGUCGAGCGAACAGACGAGGAGCUUGCUCCUUUGACGUUAGCGGCGGACGGGUGAGUAACACGUAGGUAACCUACCUAUAAGACUGGGAGAACUUCGGGAAACCGGAGCUAAUACCGGAUAAUAUUUCGAACCGCAUGGUUCGAUAGUGAAAGAUGGCUUUGCUAUCAAUUAUAGAUGGAGCUGCGCCGUAUUAGCUAGUUGGUCAGGUAACGGCUUACCAAGGCAACGAUACGUAGCCGACCUGAGUGGGUGAUCAGCCACACUGGAACUGAGACACGGUCCAGACUCCUACGGGAGGCAGCAGUAGGGAAUCUUCCGCAAUGGGCGAAAGCCUGACGGAGCAACGCCGCGUGAGUGAUGAAGGUCUUCGGAUCGUAAAACUCUGUUAUUAGGGAAGAACAAACGUGUAAGUAACUGUGCACGUCUUGACGGUACCUAAUCAGAAAGCCACGGCUAACUACGUG